UACGUAGGGUGCAAGCGUUGUCCGGAAUUAUUGGGCGUAAAGAGCUCGUAGGCGGUUUGUCGCGUCGGCUGUGAAAACCUGGGGCUCAACCCCGGGCCUGCAGUCGAUACGGGCAGACUAGAGUGCGGUAGGGGAGACUGGAAUUCCUGGUGUAGCGGUGAAAUGCGCAGAUAUCAGGAGGAACACCAAUGGCGAAGGCAGCUCGCUGGGACGGUACUGACGCUGAGGCGCGAAAGCGUGGGGAGCAAACAGG
rnacentral:rRNA from 1 species